rnacentral:rRNA from 1 species
UACAGGGGGGGCAAGCGUUGUUCGGAAUUACUGGGCGUAAAGGGCUCGUAGGUGGCCAACUAAGUCAGACGUGAAAUCCCUCAGCUUAACUGGGGAACUGCGUCUGAUACUGGAUGGCUUGAGUUUGGGAGAGGGAUGCGGAAUUCCAGGUGUAGCGGUGAAAUACGUAGAUAUCUGGAGGAACACCGGUGGCGAAGGCGGCAUCCUGGACCAACACUGACACUGAGGAGCGAAAGCCAGGGGAGCAAACGGG